rnacentral:misc_RNA from 1 species
GAUGAAGAACGUAGCGAAAUGCGGUACUUGGUGUGAAUUGCAGAAUCCCGUGAACCAUCGAGUCUUUGAACGCAAGUUGCGCCUCAAGCCAUUAGGUUGAGGGCACGUCUGCCUGGGCGUCACAUAUCGUUGCCUGAUGCCAGUUUCCUCGUGAUGGGUGACUGUGCAGGGCGAAUGAUGGCUUCCCGUGAGCAUUGUUGCCUCAUGGUUGGUUGAAAAUUGAGUCCUUGGUAGGGAGCGCCGUGAUAGAUGGUGGUUGAGUGACGAACGAGACCCAAUCAUGUGAGACCCCUACCGAAUUUGGCCUUCAUGACCCACAUGCGUCUUUGGAACGCUCAUGACGAGACCUCAGGUCAGGCGGGGCUACCCGCUGAGUUUAAGCAUAUCAAUAAGCGGAGGA